rnacentral:lncRNA from 1 species
UGGCCUUAAACUUGCCAUUCUCAAACCUCAGGCUCCUGAGUUGCUGGGAUUACAGGAGUGUGUCACCAUGCCUCAUUGAUUUGCAUAUUUUUGACUGGCAUACUUUUGUGUAAACAUAACCUUAUUCAAGAUACUAAAAGUUCUCUCCAGUCCUCCUUGAUGAUUAUUCACCCUUUAGUCAUGCAAAAGGAAUCACUCUCCCAAUUUCUAGCACUAUGAGUUAAAUUUUGUUGGUUCUGGAAGUUUACAUGGGUGGAAUUUCAUGUGUCUGGCUGUUUUUAUUCAAUAUGUUUUGGAAAUUAAUUCAUGAUAUGUGUCGGGGUAGUGCACUUUUUAAACUGCCAAGUAAUGUUCUCCAAAUAGACCACAAUUUGCUUUAAGAAAUGGACAAAUUUUUUUUUGCAAAGUGGUUAUGCCCUUUUGUAUUCCUAGUAUUAAUGUCUGAGCAAACUUUUUAGUUAGGAUAUGAGCAGACAAUAUACAGAAGAAAAUGAAAACAAUCAACUAAAAUGCACUUAAAGCCACGAGAACCAUAGUAUGUGCCUGGGCAAGGUUGUGGCAGUGGAAAUGCACAGCAGCCACUUUGUAAAGCAGUCUGGCUGAAGGUGUGCUGGGGAGUCCCUGCUGCUACAGACUUGUACCUAUGUGCAAGGGACAUGCUAAAAAUGUACGCAACUUUGUUUGAAAGUACCCCAAACUGGUACCUGCUAAAAUGAUGUCUAGCAAGGUCCAUAACAAGA